rnacentral:lncRNA from 1 species
AGGGAAGCCACUAAUUCUUUCUACUUCUUUUGAAAACGAGCAAGAAAAAGAAAGGACUAAGUCAAGGGCUAGAGCUAGUUCAGUUCAAGAAAGUGACCCGUGAAUACCAAUCCAGCAUUACUUGAUCAUAGACAUUGGACUAAUAGAAAGGGAGUUGACCUUUGGUACCUCACAUCCUGAUUGUCCUUCUGAGCGAUCACUGGCACCACCUACCUUAUGUUUAUUCCCGAGUCAGCUAUUACCAUAUCUAAUUGCUGGAACCACAAUCCAAUCCUUGAGAAGUCACUCGAUGAGAGGUGCUCUUUGCUUCUUCCUUUUCUCUUGGGUUGGUAAAAGCUAAAUCCGCUGGUUCAGGAAUAGAUGCCGGUGGAAUUGUGCCGUGGGUCAACCUGUGGUGCAUUCCCUACUUCGACGGACCGCACUUCAACCAACAAAAAGGACCCACCUUCUAUUCAAAAGGCGAGCAUCUAGU